CACGUAGGGUGCGAGCGUUGUCCGGAAUUAUUGGGCGUAAAGAGCUCGUAGGCGGUGUGUCGCGUCGGCCGUGAAAACCUGCAGCUUAACUGUGGGCGUGCGGUCGAUACGGGCAUCACUGGAGUUCGGCAGGGGAGACUGGAAUUCCUGGUGUAGCGGUGAAAUGCGCAGAUAUCAGGAGGAACACCGGUGGCGAAGGCGGGUCUCUGGGCCGUAACUGACGCUGAGGAGCGAAAGCAUGGGGAGCGAACAGG
rnacentral:rRNA from 1 species